UACGUAGGGUGCGAGCGUUAAUCGGAAUUACUGGGCGUAAAGACGUGCGCAGGCGGUUAUGUAAGACAGGUGUGAAAUCCCCGGGCUUAACCCUGGGAACUGCAUUUGUGACUGCAUAGCUAGAGUACGGUAGAGGGGGAUGGAAUUCCGCGUGUAGCAGUGAAAUGCGUAGAUAUGCGGAGGAACACCGAUGGCGAAGGCAAUCCCCUGGACCUGUACUGACGCUCAUGCACGAAAGCGUGGGGAGCAAACAGG
rnacentral:rRNA from 1 species